UUUCACUAGUUGAGGAUUAUUUCAGGUAUAGAGAAGAUUAGCAUGGCCCCCGAGAAAGGAUGACAUGCAAAUCNGACACAUUCCGUAUUUGG
rnacentral:snRNA from 1 species